rnacentral:rRNA from 1 species
AAUGGACACUGCGAGCAGCAGGCCAUACACAUUGCAAUCGAACGGUAACAGGAAGCAGCUUGCUGCUUCGCUGACGAGUGGCGGACGGGUGAGUAAUGUCUGGGAAACUGCCUGAUGGAGGGGGAUAACUACUGGAAACGGUGGCUAAUACCGCAUAACGUCGCAAGACCAAAAGAGGGGGACCUUCGGGCCUCUUGCCAUCAGAUGUGCCCAGAUGGGAUUAGCUUGUUGGUGAGGUAACGGCUCACCAAGGCGACGAUCCCUAGCUGGUCUGAGAGGAUGACCAGCCACACUGGAACUGAGACACGGUCCAGACUCCUACGGGAGGCAGCAGUGGGGAAUAUUGCACAAUGGGCGCAAGCCUGAUGCAGCCAUGCCGCGUGUAUGAAGAAGGCCUUCGGGUUGUAAAGUACUUUCAGCGGGGAGGAAGGUGUUGUGGUUAAUAACCGCAGCAAUUGACGUUACCCGCAGAAGAAGCACCGGCUAACUCCGUGCCAGCAGCCGCGGUAAUACGGAGGGUGCAAGCGUUAAUCGGAAUUACUGGGCGUAAAGCGCACGCAGGCGGUCUGUCAAGUCGGAUGUGAAAUCCCCGGCUCACCUGGGAACUGCAUUCGAACUGCAGGCUGAGUCUGUAGAGGGGGUAGAAUUCAGGUGUAGCGGUGAAAGCGUAGAGAUCUGGAGGAAUACCCGGUGCGAAGGCGGGCCCCUGGACAAAGACUGACGCUCAGGUUCGANGCGUGGGACCACAGAUGAUGGUGUGUGUAAAA